UGAGUAACCUGCCCUUAACUCUGGGAUAAGCCUGGGAAACUGGGUCUAAUACCGGAUAUGACUCCUCAUCGCAUGGGUGGGGGGUGGAAAGCUUUUUGUGGUUUUGGAUGGACUCGCGGCCUAUCAGCUUGUUGGUGAAGUAAUGGCUCACCAAGGCGACGACGGGUAGCCGGCCUGAGAGAGUGACCGGCCACACGUGGGGCUGAGACACGGCCCAGACCUCCGUACGGGAGCAG
rnacentral:rRNA from 1 species